rnacentral:misc_RNA from 1 species
UACGUAGGCAGCAAGCGUUGUUCGGAAUUACUGGGCGUAAAGCGAGUGUAGGCGGUCUGUCAAGUCCGUUGUGAAAUCUCCCGGCUCAACUGGGAGGGUGCGCCGGGAACUGACAGGCUAGAGUGCGGUAUGGGAGAGUGGAAUUCCUGGUGUAGCGGUGAAAUGCGUAGAUAUCAGGAGGAACACCGGUGGUGAAGACGGCUCUCUGGACCGCUACUGACGCUGAGACUCGAAAGCGUGGGGAGCAAACAGG